rnacentral:sRNA from 1 species
AUUAGUGGGCAUGCAAACAUUUGUGUGUGUGUGUGUGCGCGCUCACAAAAUGAAGUCUGCAGAGAGUGUCACGCAGAGGCAUUUUAGACCGUGCAACCUGAUCAGUUUGAACUCCGAAAGAUCAUAUUAUUUAUUUAUUUGUUUGUCUUUCCUUCUCAAAGACAGUUAAUUACUGAAGCACCGGGAACAUUUUGUAUUCCCGCUUUUGCGAUGGUGCCUUGCAAACCUGAGACUAAUGAGACCAAGUUCUCACCCCAGCUGUGAACUUGCUGACUUUCCUGCCUGGAAGCCGGAGCAGAGCUUCUGAACAUUGACUCAAGAGGCUACAGAAAUACAUGUAGCUUCACCAGGACCUGAGAGCUAAAACCUAGGCUCCUCUCCUAAGGCAACAUCAUCAGGGAAAUUUGCUGAGGAGAGGAGAUUCCAAGAGAUGCUGUUGCCUGGGGUGAUGCUCCCACCUGUCAAGCUUUGAGUCCAACAGAGAGCAUCAGGCUUGCACUCUUCCUCCUUAUCACCUCUUCUGCAGUGUGCCCUGCAGGAAUGCAGCUGCUUUGAGCCACUCACAUGCAGGACAGCAGAGUGAUGAAUUUAUCAUGAAUAGCUCUGGAUCCUGAGAAGUAUGAGGUCAAGGCACUUGCUUUAUUCUGGAAAGGGUUUUCUUGCUGCUGUCAUAGCAAGGUGGAAAUCAUCAUGUUGCAGAAGAUGAAUGACUUUGGAGGGGGAGUGCAUCUAAUUUGUCCUGCUGGAGAGGACCAGAUCCAGGGGUCCAAAGAAAUAUCACCUGAAGACGCCAGACUUUUCUUGGAAGUGAGCAGCUAUGUCUGGAUAUAGAUGUCUACCUGGAGAAUUUCCAGCCUGGCCCAGUUCAGUUCUGGCCUCAUACAGCUCCUUUGGGGCUCCCUGUGAAAGUACAGGAGCAGUACCUAGGUACCAAGAGACCAGGCCAGGAACCACAGCAUUCAUCCUUGACCCUGAUGUUUUCUUGCCAGUCAAGUGUGUUGCAUCAUCUGAUGCCCCAAUGGAAAUAUGGACUGAGGACUCCUCAUUCCAGCUUUUGUUCUGCAUCCUCUGGGCAGGGUGCUGGUGGCAUCCAGAUAACCCUGGAAGAGAGGCAGAAUGCACUAAGACAGCCCAACACUACACCAGUACUGGAAUGAGUUUUCUAAAAGAGGAAGAGCUUACUUGCAAGCCGGCCAAAGAUGAUGGUGAGCAACUCAAAUUCCCAAACUACCUGUCUGUGACACAGCUUACGGAUAUCUGAGAAAUGGGAAUAGGUAGAAAGUGAUUGACUGGAGGUGAUGAUCCAUGGUCUUUAAUCUGAUGAGACUUCAUGUCUCCUCUGGAGUGCAAGCUCAUGAACUGGUGUAAUGACUUGAUCCUCUGACUUCAAAGGGACACCUAUCAGACACAUGUGCAGGCCCAAGCCAAAAGCCUUUUGUUUCACUAAAAUGUUUUUCAAUUCCUCCAAAAGUAUCUUGACAUUUCUAUUCUCAGGAUCCAUUCAUCUGGGGUGCUGUGGUAAAUGGCACAGAAUUAGCAUAUUCUCACGCAGACUUUAAAUCAGAUCUUGAUAAUCUGUAAUUCAUAAAGCAACUUAAACCCUACAUAAAUAGCUGCUACAGUAUAUUGUUUAGAA